GCAGUCGUGGCCGAGUGGGUUAAGGCGAUGGUACUAGAAAUCCUAUUGGGGUCUCCCCGCACAGGUUCGAAUCCUGUCGACUGCG